UACACAUGCAAGUCGAGCGAUGAAACUACUUCGGUAGUGAAUUAGCGGCGAACGGGUGAGGAACACGUGAGGAAUCUGCCUUCAACACUGGGAUAACUCCGGGAAACCGGGGCUAAUACCGGAUACGAGCCUUGAUCGCAUGAUCGAGGCUGGAAAGUUUUUCGGUUGAAGAUGACCUCGCGGCCUAUCAGCUUGUUGGUGAGGUAAUGGCUCACCAAGGCGACGACGGGUAGCCGGCCUGAGAGGGCGACCGGCCACGCUGGGACUGAGACACGGCCCAGACUCCUACGGGAGGCAGCAGUGGGGAAUAUUGGGCAAUGGAGGAAACUCUGACCCAGCGACGCCGCGUGCGGGAUGAAGGCCUUCGGGUUGUAAACCGCUUUCAGUAGGGAAGAAGCGAAAGUGACGGUACCUACAGAAGAAGCACCGGCUAACUAUGUGCCAGCAGCCGCGGUAAUACAUAGGGUGCAAGCGUUGUCCGGAAUUAUUGGGCGUAAAGAGCUCGUAGGUGGUUUGAUACGUCGGGUGUGAAAUUCAGGGGCUCAACCCCUGACCUGCAUUCGAUACGGUCAAGCUAGAGUUUGGUAGGGGAGACUGGAAUUCCUGGUGUAGCGGUGGAAUGCGCAGAUAUCAGGAGGAACACCGAUGGCGAAGGCAGGUCUCUGGGCCAAUACUGACACUGAGGAGCGAAAGCGUGGGGAGCGAACAGGAUUAGAUACCCUGGUAGUCCACGCCGUAAACGGUGGGCGCUAGUUGUGCGAACCUUCCACGGUUUGUGCGACGCAGCUAACGCAUUAAGCGCCCCGCCUGGGGAGUACGAUCGCAAGAUUAAAACUCAAAGGAAUUGACGGGGCCCCGCACAAGCAGCGGAGCAUGCGGCUUAAUUCGACGCAACGCGAAGAACCUUACCAAGGCUUGACAUAUACAGGAAUACGGCAGAGAUGUCGUAGCGGUUAAACGUCUGUAUAC
rnacentral:rRNA from 1 species